CCCUUAGAUGUUCUGGGCCGCACGCGCGCUACACUGAUGCAUUCAACGAGUUUCUUCCUGGUCCGAGAGGAAUGGGUAACCUUUUGAAAGUGCAUCGUGAUAGGGAUAGACUAUUGCAAUUAUUGGUCUUCAACGAGGAAUUCCUAGUAGACGUAGUUCAUCAGACUGCAUCGAUUACGUCCCUGCCCUUUGUACACACCGCCCGUCGCUGCCCGGAACUGAGCCGUUUCGAGAAGACUGAGGAUUGCUGACUUGAGGCCUUCACGGGCUUCUAGUCGGUGAAAAUCAAUUUAAUCGCAGCGGCUUGAACCGGGCAAAAGUCGUAACA
rnacentral:rRNA from 1 species